rnacentral:rRNA from 1 species
AUGGAGUCCACGGUGCUGAGCGUGGGCAAGUCCGUGCUGCACGGAGCGCUGAGCUACGCCAAAUCUGCGGUGGCGGAGGAGGUGGCUCUGCAGCUAGGAGUCCGGCGGGAUCAGGUCUUCGUCACCAGAGAGCUGGAGAUGAUGCAGGCCUUUCUCAUGGCCGCGCAUGAGGAUACUCUCCAGGAUUUUGCCGUUCGUCUGGACAGGCACAGGCAAUCAUGGUGGCGUAUCCCCCGUACGCUGCUGGAUAGGCGCCAUGUGGCCAAGCAGAUGAAGGAGCUCAAAGCCGAUGUCGAGGAUGUUAGCCAAAGGAGCAUGCACUACCACCUCAUCAAGGGCUCUGGCUCUGGCUCCAAGCCUGCCGCCACCGGUGGGCAAUCUGCUGUUCUAGGAGAAACCAUGUCUGGCAUGGAGGAGUCAAGGCGGCAGCGGGAGAAAUCAAAAGUGAAUCUCGUCCGAUUGCUCAACAAGAGGGACGACAAUAACCUCAAGGUGAUUGGGGUGUGGGGAACAAGUACUGUUGACUUUGAGAUUGAGGGUAGUACAUCCAUCAUCAAGAGGGCCUAUGAUCAUUUGAAGAGACACGGCAAGUUUGAUUGUUGUGCCUUUAUAAGGUUGAUGUCGGCAUUCAAUCCAAUGGAGUUCAUCCAAAACAUCAUUAGGCAGUUAUAUGUAAGCCUUCUUCAAGAGUCCAAGCAAAGUGAACAGGCAUCAAUGGAGGCCCAGAUACUGAGGAGAAUGCAGAUGAACAAGGAAGAAGAAGAUGAUCUCAUUGACGAGUUCAAGGGAUACCUGAAGGAAAAGAGUUAUCUGGUUGUGUUGACGGAUGUCUCUAGCAUCGAACAGUGGGAUCAGAUAAAAACAUUAUUUCCACACAACAAGAGAGGGAGCCAAAUCAUGGUUUUCACACCACAAGUUGAAGUUGCAACUUUAUGUGUAGGUCAUGAGAGCUUAGAACCAGAGCACAAGCAGUUGUCUUCUGAUGAGACUCUUUAUGCUUUCUACGAAAAGGGUUAUCCUGAGGAGGAAAUAUCACCGGAGCCAAUGCCAAGCCCAAAUGCGACAACUAGUGGGACCAACAACUCCAUGGACAGAAAUGGCAUUACUCGCAUCGACACGAUGCUGUUUGCUGCUUUGGAGGAAUCUCAGCUCAUCGGGCGAGUGAAUGAAAGAUCUGAAAUCAUCGAACUAGUUUCAAAUAAACAUGGACAAGAACUUCAGGUGAUAUCAUUAUGGGGAAUGGGUGGUCUUGGGAAAACCACACUAGUCAGAGAUAUAUAUCAAAGCCAAGAGAUCAGUCAAAUGUUUGAGGCACGUGCUUGUGCCACUGUCAUGCGUCCUUUCAAUUGUGAGGAGCUUCUUAGAAGCUUGGCAAUGCAGUUUGGAAAUGUGACAGAUCUGAGAGCGGGAAGUUGCAUCAUAGUCACCACAAGGGAAGAGAGUAUUGCUAAGCACUGUUCAAAUGUGGAAGGAAAUGCACGGAAGCUCAGCACCCUGAAUUAUGAUGACGCUCAUAUUCUUUUGAUGAGGAAGGUAUUUAAGGAGACUGUAAAUUUGGAUGAUGAGCUAGUUGAACAAGAAGAACUGAUUCUGAAGAAAUGCAAAGGGCUUCCUCUUGCAAUAGUAGCUAUAGGUGGAUUUUUGGCAAACCAACCAAAAACAACUCUAGAAUGGAGAAAGUUUAAUCAGCAUCUUAGUACUGAGUUGGAGAUGAAUCCAGAGCUUGAGACCAUAAGAGCAGUUCUUCUUAAAAGUUAUGAUGGUUUACCCUAUCAUCUUAAGUCAUGUUUUCUGUACCUGGCCAUCUUUCCUGAAGACCAUGAGGUUAGCAAGCGACGGUUGGUGCGUCGGUGGAUUGCGGAGGGUUAUUCAAGGGAGAUGCGUGGAAAAUCUGCGGAGGAAAUGGCUAGUAGCUAUUUCAUGGAGUUUAUAAGCAGAAGUAUGGUCCUACCAUCUCAACGAUCAAUGUAUAGUAGAAAAGGAAUUGACUCAUGCCAAAUCCAUGACCUGAUCCGUGAAAUAAUCAUCUCAAAGUCAAUGGAGGAAAAUCUUGUUUUAAGGCUAGAGAGAGGAUGUAUCUUGGACUGCCAAGGGACUGGACGUCACCUCGUUAUAAGCAGCGAUUGGGAGGGAGAUCAGAAUGAGUUUGAGAGUUCAGUAGACCUAUCUCGCAUAAGAUCAUUAACAGUGUUUGGGGAGUCGAAGCCAUUUUUCAUUUCUAAAAAGAUGAGGUUGCUGCGAGUGCUAGACUUAGAAGGUGUAUCAGGUCUAUUUGAUCAUCACCUUGUGCACAUGGGCAAGCUUCUUCACCUCAAGUACCUUUCUUUGAGAGGAUGUAUGGAAAUUUAUUAUUUGCCAGAUUGGUUGGGUAAUCUCAGGCAACUUGAGACACUGGAUAUUAAAGGUACGCAAAUAUUCAACCUGCCAAGGACCAUCAUCCGGCUUAGUAAGCUACGACAUAUCUUUGCUGGGGCAAACAUUAGAGGCUGUGGGGAUAUGUCAGAUUGGGAUCCACAAGCUGAAAGCCCUACAGACACUGGAUGCAGUGAACAUCGCAAGGGGGAGGCCACUCUCGAUGACAUAAAAAGACUCGCUCAAUUGCGCAAGUUAGGAGUGAGUGGCAUCAACAAGACAAACGGCCAAAUGUUAUGUUCAGCAGUUGCUGGUCUCAGCCGCCUCGAGUCAUUGACGAUGAAGCCACAAAAGGAAUCAGGUCUGUGUGGAUGUUUGGAUGGAACGGCCUCACCUCCAAAAAACCUAGAGUGCCUCAAGCUGAUCGGCAACUUGGGCAAACUGCCCGAAUGGAUCAUGGGGCUGAAAAAUCUCUUGAAGCUGAAGCUAUGGGGCUCCAGGAUAUUGGAGCAUGAUUCUGACAUGCAGGUCUUAGGCAAGCUACCCAACCUGACCUUCCUGAGUCUACGUGACAAGUCAUUCGUGGGCGAACAGGUCCACAUCAAGUUCCAUAGGGAGGAAUUCCCAAGUCUAGUGGUGCUGGAAGUCUAUCGGGAAGAGGAGGUCAAAUCGUUUGAGUUUGAACAAGGAGCAACCCCUAAGCUUGAGCUGUUGCGGUAUUGUGGAGACCCUUCACAGUGCAUCGCCAGGUAUUUUCUUGGGCUACAAUAUCUCCCAAGCCUCAGGGAAUUCAUGCUCAGCGACUACUAUCGCUACUAUAGGAGUGAACACAAGGAUGACUUCCUGGGCGACUUGCAGGCCCAGAUUUCCCAGAAUACAAAUCGGCCCGUUCUGAACCGUGCUAUUAAUUUCCGUUGA